AGUGAACGCUGGCGGUAGGCCUAACACACGCAAGUCGAACGGAAAGGCCCUGCUUUUGUGGGGUGCUCGAGUGGCGAACGGGUGAGUAACACGUGAGUAACCUGCCCUUGACUUUGGGAUAACUUCAGGAAACUGGGGCUAAUACCGGAUAGGAGCUCCUGCUGCAUGGUGGGGGUUGGAAAGUUUCGGCGGUUGGGGAUGGACUCGCGGCUUAUCAGCUUGUUGGUGGGGUAGUGGCUUACCAAGGCUUUGACGGGUAGCCGGCCUGAGAGGGUGACCGGCCACAUUGGGACUGAGAUACGGCACAGACUCCUACGGGAGGCAGCAGUGGGGAAUAUUGCACAAUGGGCGGAAGCCUGAUGCAGCAACGCCGCGUGCGGGAUGACGGCCUUCGGGUUGUAAACCGCUUUCGCCUGUGACGAAGCGUGAGUGACAGUAAUGGGUAAAGAAGCACCGGCUAACUACGUG
rnacentral:rRNA from 1 species